UACGUAGGUGGCAAGCGUUGUCCGGAAUUAUUGGGCGUAAAGCGUGCGUAGGCGGUUCGUUAAGUUCGUUGUGAAAGCCCCGGGCUCAACCUGGGAAUGGCAAUGGAAACUGGCGGGCUUGAGUAUGGCAGAGGGGGGUGGAAUUCCGCGUGUAGCAGUGAAAUGCGUAGAGAUGCGGAGGAACACCGAUGGCGAAGGCAGCCCCCUGGGCCAAUACUGACGCUCAGGCACGAAAGCGUGGGGAGCAAACAGG
rnacentral:rRNA from 1 species